rnacentral:lncRNA from 1 species
CUCCCUUCAACUGAUCCGCCACCUUAGUUGUCUCAAGCUAUCUCUUCUCAAAAAUAUCCAAACUUUGGGAUAAAUUGCUGAUCUGCUGGCUUAAUGAAUUAAAAAGUCUCUCAGUGGAUAUUUUUUGCUCAUCAAGACUCUAUGAUAUGUACUGUUAAAGAGCUGAAGAGUCAGUCCGCUGAUCUGUAAUGGGUCUAUGGUCCACAACUCACUCGAAGCUCUCAAGCCUCAGUGUGAUUUUGAGCAAAUCUCCAUGGAGCUGCUGGAUCAAGGACUGAAUGUGCUCCUGAGAUAUCUCUUGACUCUAUAAAAUUUGAGUCUUGAAAUUCUAAAAUAUCCUUCCCAUCCUAUCAAAUAUCUGAUCAAGAAAUCCCUCUGUAGAUACUGUGUGGGGCACGUGAGGUGUACGAGGGAAAGUUGGAUGAUGGUCAUCAGCCACUAAUGCAGGGGUCGGAAUAGGAGGAGGGGACUGUGGAGCAUCCACUGG